ensembl:ncRNA asRNA:CR46484 antisense RNA:CR46484
GGCCAGUCGACAACAGCCACUCAGCGGAGCGAGAUCGGGGGCACGCUAGAGUCGGACGGAAUGAUGCGUGGAGAUCGUGGGGAGUAGUAGAAAUUAACACUAAAUGUUGGCCUGAUAAAUCCAAAAAAAAAAAUCAGAAGGAAGCCCUUGGCCAGAAAACAGUUAAUUCGACACCCACUCAAACGAGGCUAAGAAGGCGCGCAUGAGCGAGAGAGCCAGAGAGAGCGAACACAGCUCUGCUCUCGCACGAAUGAGAAAUCAAAACAAAUUGCAAAAGAAUAGAGAUUUUCUGCCUGGGUUAUGUGUAUAUGUUUUGACGAGCGUGUACCAAGCGUAUGCGCACCGCCACAAGCGGAAUAAAAAAUAUACAAAAUAAUUUGCUGCACUCGCACGCACACACACCAGCGCACCUCCGCUGACACACACACCCGCACCAACUGCAGGCAUUAUGCACGCCAUAUAAACAAUUGCGAAAAAAUUACACUUGGUUUCGUGGCCCUCGACAGCUACGUCAUAGCACUAAAAUAAUGGCGCGCUUUUUCAGUGCAGCCACAAAAAGUCGCUUAUAAUUAAAAGAAAAUGCAAAUAAUAUCAAUCAGGAGAACUUUGCGACGCCCAAUUCCAGGUGAACUCGAGUAACUCGAUGCUCGACGGCGUAAACAAACAACAUUCUGGAUGCAACGAAAAUUUCUCUACACUUUCUUUUUUGCACCCACCGAGGCACAGGCACAUCAAUAUUUUCCAUUUUAUAUACUGCCUGGGCAUCGUGUGGCCGCACUGCGUUAAAACGCCCUGAAACGCCACAAAACUCACCUAGUUUCAACUAUCCUAGUCUGAAAAGCACGCGCUACGUGUUUGCAAACAUUUAGGCGUGCGCUUGGCGUAAAUAUUCCCGCGAUUUUCUUUGGAAAUUAAAAAUAAGUUCUUCUCAAAUUCUUUUUCAGCGACGAAACUCGGAGCAGUCGAAUCGAGAUGGCAUUGCUGCGAUAGGCAGCACGGUAUCGAUUGCCUGCUCUUUCCGCACUAUCGUUUGUCAUUCGCAACUUUUCGUGUACGAUAGUUCUGUUGUAUUUGUUUUAUAAUCUAUUAAAUUUGAAGUAAUUAAAUUAAACAGAUAGGAAACUAUCUAUAACAUUAUUUUAUUUCUCUAAUACUUUUCUAGUGGACUCAAAGAAGGGCUCACCUAUUUUGACCGAAAGUUCCGCUUGCUUGGAAUGUCUAACAAUAUCUCUACUUUAAUUUAUCGUCUGCAAUUUUAGACAAAUUUCUAUGCUUAUGUUGAGAUCCGGUUUGUAUCUGUUAAUUAGGCGCAGUAAGUUGUACUUUUUCGCCUUGGAGUUGUUUGAUUCCAGUUCAUACAGCGUCGAGAGAUUGACCAGCAAACUCUCGUUGAGGGACUUCUGGGGAUUCAGGUUGAUAGCGCGCUCGUACAGAUUUAUAGCAUCCUUUAGCUUUCCGGCGUAGAGAAGGCACACUCCCAUGUUGUUCAGGAUCAUUGUGUUGCCGGUGUCCAGGUGCAGAGCUUUCUGGAAUAUCACAUAGGCCUCGGGAAAGUCGUUCUUGGCCACAGCUAUUAAUCCCUUAUCGACCAAGUCUCUGAGAUCAGGCGCGGAGUUUCUACAACAAAGCAUAUCAUUGAACUGAAAAUAGCGUUGGUUAGAGUAGGGCCUUACAUCUCCCUUAAUCUCCUCGAGACGGCAAUCUUCUGCUCCGCUCCAAAUAUGUCACCAAUUUGCAGAUAAAUGCGGCCCCAAGCGGAGUACAAGGAUCGCCGAUCCUCCUUGCUCAGGUUGGAGCGCUUUAAAAGCGUUCCCUCCAUUAUGUCGUCUAUCAUACUGAAUUUCUUCAUCUGCAAGAAUUAAAUGGGCAAUGUUACACUCAUUUAAACUACAGUUAAGUUUUCUUGAACGUACCAUCAAUCCACAGUUGAUGAUUGAAUGCAAAACCCGUUCGCAUCGCCUUUGCCAAAACUCCUCUGCCGCCUUGUUGUGCAGACUUAAAUAGUGCUCCUUGAUUUCCCGCGUGGUCACAUGAAGUUCUGAAAGUCUGUCCAGGGCGACAUGGGGUUUACCCAGAUAUAUGGGCAGCUCUGCAAGCAAGAGCCGGAAGGAAAAACAGGCUAUGGAUCCACUUUUCCCGUUGUACAUCUCCGGAUAGAAGUCGUAGAAGACAUCGGGGCUGGUAAGUUGGCCAAAAGGUUCUGCCUCGGCAUUCAGCAGCUCAAACUCGCCCAACUUGGCAAGCAGCGCGAGGCGCGUGAACCACAGUUGCAGGGAGUGGGGCGAAUGCUUUGCUGGCUGACCAGAUCGCCCGUAACCCUGACCGUAAAUGGUCAGAAGACGGCCCGUAAGAUUCACGGCAGUGCGAUAGCAACCGGCGUGGAUUAGUGUUCUCAAGCCGCGCUCGUCCUGGGUGACAUCAUCGACGCGAAGGAUCUUGCGGUAGGACAACUCGGCCUCUCCGAGGUGUUGAGUCACCGCCACGCUGAUGGGAUCUGCCUGGAACAGUCAUAAAGUGUCAGUAAGUAAAAGUGUCAUUACCUUUAAAAAGAAGUAUAGAAGCAUUCUAUACGCACCAAGUCAGUUUGCAGAUGGAUGCCCGGCAUAAUAAGUUUACCGGGCUCGUUUUCCCGCGUCAUGGAAGUGCGACUGUGAGUUUUCGAGCAGCUAAAAAGAACACAUUUACUCCACUUGUGAGCUCGGGUGUGGUAUGUGCUGCAAUUUGACGCCCUGUAGAGGCGAUGCGAUCAAACAGCGGGAUGCGGGCGGAGGAGGAGAAUGGGAAUGGUGAGGAGGAUGAGGGGCACAUGCUACACGCAUGCGCUGCGUUAGGAGUCGGGCACGUCCCGAGUCCCUGGGCUCUAUAAAUAUGCAGAGGACCGUGCAA